CCUGAUGGCCAGCUGGGCCCAGAAGUGGGGCGGGAGGGAGGAUGGCGAAGAAGCAAGAGGAGGAGGAGAGUCAUGACAAAGAUGGGGAGCUCUGUUUCAGCCCCAAGAAUGGGAAGUUUCAUCCUGGGGUGCCUGACCCACAAAGUUGGUCAAGGUGAGCGGGGUUUCCACAGCUUCGUCUGGUCAGGGGCCACGACCCCAGCCUGCGCGGGGCCCCCUGCAGAAGUUGCUUCCAGGGUGGGCUGCACCACACAGAACACGGUGACAGAGCUGCCGAAGCCGCGGGAGGACCCUCUCUGGCCUCCCACACACCUGCCUGUUGAACCAGCCCCGUUAGAGCGUUCUUUUCUCACCUGCAACCUCUUCGCAUUUUCAAUUUGCAGCACUCACGAGCCCGCUACUUGCUCUGGAGAACUUCCCUCUGAAGCCCAAGAAUGAGGCCCUGGUUGUGUACCAAUUCACUCCUCUCAAUCCACUUGGAGCUCAGGGCCCAGAAAACACACUCCAGCUGUCCUUGGGGCUGAGGAUGUGUGUACACAGGACAAACCCAUCAGUAUCCUCCAUCCACUCCUGCUUGACGUUUAUAGCAUCACGAGUGAGAAGACAAGCUGUGUGACCCUGGGCAAGUCGACCUCUGCCUCCACCUGCACAUCUAUAAAAUGGAUACAAUAGCAAUAGCUACCUUAUACGUCUGUUGAGAGGACUAAAUAAGCUAUUUAAAGACCUUCGAAGAGUUCUUGGAACAUGGCGAGUGCAGUAAAUGUUAACUACUUAAUUAGUCACUAAAUGGUAUAUGGAAAAGAACUUAACACAAGUUUGGGGGGAUUAUUUCUGAAUUUUAAAUACUUUGUCCGCUAGCGUCAUAUUUCUUGCUGUUAGAGGUCAUUUAAAGGUGAGUGUGAAUUACAGCAAGGGUGAAUUACACACCCGCGACAGUAAAGGCAGGACAGGAAAUGACAGUCCACUGCUGUGGCCUGACUUUGCCAGGUUUGGUUUUGUGGGAUGGGUUCCCAGGGAGGUGGAACCAGAGCUGGAGAUAAGUACACAGGGCACUCAACAAGCCAUGCUCUUGGGAUCAGCACACAUGGAUGCAGGUGGAGGAAGCAGGGCUGGGCAGGGGGAAAGGUGAACUGUGAUCCAGCCCUGACAAAGGCCUCAGAUGAGCCCCUGGGGCCCUCUGGAGCUGGGCUGAUCCCUCAGAGCUGGGAGUCAAGUUCAAUGGGGCCUGGCCUUUAACUCCUGCUGUGUGGUGAGCUCUCUGUGAGGCUCUGGUGUCCAGCCCUAGUCUAGGUGUUGCUGUGGUGAUAUUUUGUAGAUGUGGUUCUAUCUAUAACUUACUGACUUCUAGGUUAAAGCAGAUUGCUCUCCCUAAUAUCAGUGGGCCUCAUCCAAUCACUUGAAGGCCUUAAGAGAGCAGACUGAGGUUUCUUAGGAAAGAAAGUCUUAACCCCAGGCUGUAACAUAAAAAUCCUUCUGAGGGGUCCCUGGGUGGCUCAGUGGUUUAGCGCCUGCCUUUGGCCCAGGGCGCGAUCCUGGAGACCCGGGAUCGAGUCCCACGUCAGGCUCCCGGCAUGGAGCCUGCCUCUCCCUGCCUGUGUCUCUACCUCUCUCUCUCUCUCUCUCUCUCUCUCUCUCUCUCUAUCAUAAAUAAAUAAAAUCUUAAAAAAAAAAAAAAAAUAAAA
rnacentral:lncRNA from 12 species